rnacentral:rRNA from 1 species
GACGAACGCUGGCGGCGUGCUUAACACAUGCAAGUCGAACGGAAAGGCCCUGCUUUUGUGGGGUGCUCGAGUGGCGAACGGGUGAGUAACACGUGAGUAACCUGCCCUUGACUUUGGGAUAACUUCAGGAAACUGGGGCUAAUACCGGAUAGGAGAGCAGGCUGCAUGGUGGGGGUUGGAAAGUUUCGGCGGUUGGGGAUGGACUCGCGGCUUAUCAGCUUGUUGGUGGGGUAGUGGCUUACCAAGGCUUUGACGGGUAGCCGGCCUGAGAGGGUGACCGGCCACAUUGGGACUGAGAUACGCCCCAGACUCCUACCGGACGCAUCAGUCCUUCUUCUUCCCCCCUCUCCGGCCGCCUGCUGCACCCCCUCCCCCUGCGGGCUGACGGCCUUCGGGUUCUCCACCUCUUUCGCCUGUGACCAACCCUUCUUCCCGGUCCUUUCUCAACACGCACCGGCUAACUCCGUG